ACAGAUCGUUCAGAGUUUGAUCCUGGCUCAGGACGAACGCUGGCGGCGUGCCUAACACAUGCAAGUCGAGCGGGGACAGUGGAGAGCUUGCUCAAAGCUGUUCGAGCGGCGGACGGGUGAGUAACGCGUGAGCAAUCUGUCCUGUACAGGGGGAUAACAGGUGGAAACAUCUGCUAAUACCGCAUGAGACCACAGAGCCGCAUGGUUCAGGGGUCAAAGGAGAAAUCCGGUACAGGGUGAGCUCGCGUCUGAUUAGCUAGUUGGUGAGGUAACGGCCCACCAAGGCGACGAUCAGUAGCCGACCUGAGAGGGUGAUCGGCCACAUUGGAACUGAGACACGGUCCAA
rnacentral:rRNA from 1 species